UACGUAGGGGGCAAGCGUUGUCCGGAUUUAUUGGGCGUAAAGAGCUCGUAGGCGGCUCAGUAAGUCGGGUGUGAAAGCCCCGAGCUCAACUCGGGGAGGCCACUCGAUACUGCUGUGGCUAGAGUCCGGUAGGGGAGCGUGGAAUUCCCGGUGUAGCGGUGAAAUGCGUAGAUAUCGUAAGGAAGACCUGUGGCGAAGGCGGGUCUCUGGACAGUUCCUGACGCUGAGGCACGAAGGCCAGGGGAGCAAACGGG
rnacentral:rRNA from 1 species